UACGGAGGGAGCUAGCGUUGUUCGGAAUUACUGGGCGUAAAGCGUACGUAGGCGGUUAUUCAAGUCAGAGGUGAAAGCCUGGAGCUCAACUCCAGAACUGCCUUUGAAACUAGAUAGCUAGAAUCUUGGAGAGGUGAGUGGAAUUCCGAGUGUAGAGGUGAAAUUCGUAGAUAUUCGGAAGAACACCAGUGGCGAAGGCGACUCACUGGACAAGUGUUGACGCUGAGGUACGAAAGCGUGGGGAGCAAACAGG
rnacentral:rRNA from 1 species